rnacentral:rRNA from 1 species
UACGUAGGGGGCUAGCGUUGUCCGGAAUCAUUGGGCGUAAAGCGCACGUAGGCGGCUUUCUAAGUCAGGGGUGAAAUCCUGGAGCUCAACUCCAGAACUGCCUUUGAUACUGGAGAGCUUGAGUCCGGGAGAGGUGAGUGGAACUCCGAGUGUAGAGGUGAAAUUCGUAGAUAUUCGGAAGAACACCAGUGGCGAAGGCGGCUCACUGGCCCGGUACUGACGCUGAUGUGCGAAAGCGUGGGGAGCAAACAGG